CGAGACCAGCCUGACCAACAUGGUGAAACCUUGUCUCUACUAAAAAUAUAAAAAUUAACCAGGUGUGGUGAUGCAUGCCUGUGAUCCCAGCUACUCAGGAGGCUAGGGUAGGAGAAUCACUUGAACCCUGGAGGUGGAAGUUGCAGUGAGCCGAGAUUAUGCCACUGCACUCCAGCUUAGGUGACAGAGCAAGACUCGUCAAGAAAAAAAAAAAUGCAACCUGAAUCCCUUGAGGAACAUUGGAAUUUCUAGGAUUCUUUAAGUGACCAUCUCUGCCACAUCUGAUCCCAGGAUUGGCCAGCCAGCCCUUCAGUUCUGUCAUUGCCCAGUUCUUCCCUCCGUAGACCUGUCC
rnacentral:lncRNA from 10 species